AGUCACUGACAUUAGAAUACCCGUGUAGUCCAGGGUGUAAACGCUGCAGACUUGGUGUUGGAGGCCCUUUGGGGGCAUUCAGUGCCGGAGAGAAGUUGUUAAGUCUGCUACUUGGGGAGUACGUCCGCAAGGAUGAAACUUAAAGGAAUUGGCGGGGGAGCACCGCAACGGGAGGAGCGUGCGGUUUAAUUGGAUUCAACACCGUAAAACUCACCAGGGAAGACUGUUACAUGAAGGCCGAGAUGAAGACUCUGCUAGAUUUUCAG
rnacentral:rRNA from 1 species